UCCGGGCGGACGCCGAGUCCUGCCGCCGCCCGGAUGACCGGUCGACAGGAGUGGAUCGGCAGGAGUGGAGGACCCAAGCACGACGGGUCGCCGGCACGGAAGUUCGCGCCGAGCAGCCCUUGGGGUGAAGCCGCUUACGCGGCCGGGCUACUUCGCCAGCCCGAAUCCGACAGGUCAUCCUUCACAGGCGGCUGACGAAGGGUUG
rnacentral:sRNA from 2 species